AGGUGCAAUCAUAUCAAUAAUAAUGCACUAAAUUCCAUCAUUAUUUCACAGUUGAUAGUGCUUGGACGAGAGUAAUACUAUGAUGAUUUUUUAGCAUGCUUGACCGAAAGUAGUAUUAGAAAAAUUCUAUGUGUUGCACCUC
rnacentral:rRNA from 1 species